rnacentral:rRNA from 1 species
GGACCCGCACAAGCAGUGGAGCAUGUGGUUUAAUUCGAAGAUACGCGCAGAACCUUACCAACGCUUGACAUGUUCGUCGCGAGACUAAGAGAUUAGUCUUUUCAGUUUGGCUGGACGAAACACAGGUGCUGCAUGGCUGUCGUCAGCUCGUGUCGUGAGAUGUUGGGUUAAGUCCCGCAACGAGCGCAACCCCCUACUUUUAGUUGCCACCAUUUAGUUGGGCACUUUAAAAGAACUGCCAGUGAUAAGCUGGAGGAAGGUGGGGAUGACGUCAAGUCCUCAUGGCCCUUAUGUGUUGGGCUACACACGUGCUACAAUGGUACUUACAAUGGGACGCAAAGAGGCGACUCUUAGCUAAUCCCUAAAAUGUGUCUCAGUUCGGAUUGUACUCUGUAACUCGAGUGCAUGAAGCUGGAAUUGCUAGUAAUCGC